rnacentral:lncRNA from 1 species
UAUGAUACUAUGAAUUCUCCAUAAACACUACAACAGAAUUACUUAAUAGAAACAUAUUUUUAAAAUACUUUUGUGUAAAUAUCUCAUUUAUGCAAACUUUUUUUAAAAAAAUCUACUAAAAAUUAAAUAUAAAGCUCAAUCCAACUAAAAACAAAAAGUUUAUUUACUCAACCAAUCCUACCUAGUCCACUCAGUUCGAUUAUAAAUAAAAAAGAAAAAAAAAAUUGAUCACCAUCUCCCCUUCUUCUCCUCUACCGCCGCAGCCGACGAGAUACGGUUCCGACGAUUGGAAUUCGGCAGCGAAGAUUUCGCAGGAACCGUAGAGAAUUACGAUCGCCACAUGUCCCUAGCUCUGUCAUAGAUAGCUAGAAGAGUGAGUGCCGAAUAUCGAAGUGGCCCCACAUAUAGCGACCUUACAUAUAGCAACACUUUUAAAAAGUGUCAGUAAUUUAGUCAGCAGUAUUUUUUUUAUCUGUACCGAUAUUUAAAAGUGUCACUAUAUAUUAUUUUUGUUGCAGUCAAAAUAUAGUUUCUGUGUAACUAGUAUUAUUUAAAGAAAAUAAAUCAUACAA